GUGUGUGUGUGUGUGUGUGUGUGUGUGUGUGUGUGUGUGUGUGUGUGCGUGUGUGCGCGCGUGCCAGGACGCGUGGAAGGCGAGAGUGUGUGUGUGUGUACGUGUACGUACGUACACAAGGCCAGGGUGCGUGCGUGCAAGGCGAGCGUGUGCCCGCGUGCCGAGCCGGCCCUUACUGAGCCCCUCCCCCCCUACACUCUGAUCUUAUUUGAUCGGGCCGCGCUCCAGCCUCGCCGGCCCGGCCCGAGAUGAGAAGCUCCCCUCCCGCGAAGCCCCGGCCGGCUUUGGCAGGGGCGCUGUGCGGCGAGGCCUAUACGAACAGGCGGCGGCCGCCCCCGGCCUCCCGAGCCAACCCCUCCGCGGGCCGGCCCGGGCCGGGCGCUCAGAAAUGAUGAGUUGAUCAGAUAGAUGAGGCGGGGCUCGCCCCUGCCCCUGAGUAUCGAGGCGAUUCUGAUCUGA